rnacentral:piRNA from 1 species
UAUCUUUAGUGUGAAUUCAAC